rnacentral:pre_miRNA from 1 species
UCUUAUGGAUGGGCAAAUAAAGUGUUUUCUUAAGAUGGAAUUUACUCCUGGUGAAGAUGCUGUGAA